AUUGAACGCUGGCGGCAGGCCUAACACGUGCAAGUCGAGCGGAUGAAGGGAGCUUGCUCCUGGAUUCAGCGGCGGACGGGUGAGUAAUGCCUAGGAAUCUGCCUGGUAGUGGGGGAUAACGUCCGGAAACGGGCGCUAAUACCGCAUACGUCCUGAGGGAGAAAGUGGGGGAUCUUCGGACCUCACGCUCUCAGAUGAGCCUAGGUCGGAUUAGCUAGUUGGUGGGGUAAAGGCCUACCAAGGCGACGAUCCGUAACUGGUCUGAGAGGAUGAUCAGUCACACUGGAACUGAGACACGGUCCAGACUCCUACGGGAGGCAGCAGUGGGGAAUAUUGGACAAUGGGCGAAAGCCUGAUCCAGCCAUGCCGCGUGUGUGAAGAAGGUCUUCGGAUUGUAAAGCACUUUAAGUUGGGAGGAAGGGCAGUAAGUUAAUACCUUGCUGUUUUGACGUUACCAACAGAAUAAGCACCGGCUAACUUCGUG
rnacentral:rRNA from 1 species